rnacentral:rRNA from 1 species
UCCAGAACUGCCUUUGAUACUGAAGAUCUUGAGUUCGGGAGAGGUGAGUGGAACUGUGAGUGUAGAGGUGAAAUUCGUAGAUAUUCGCAAGAACACCAGUGGCGAAGGCGGCUCACUGGCCCGAUACUGACGCUGAGGCACGAAAGCGUGGUGAGCAAACAGGAUUAGAUACCAUGGUAGUCCACGCCGUAAACGAUGAAUGCCAGCCGUUAGUGGGUUUACUCACUAGUGGCGCAGCUAACGCUUUAAGCAUUCCGCCUGGGGAGUACGGUCGCAAGAUUAAAACUCAAAGGAAUUGAUGGGGGCCCGCACUAGCGGUGGAGCAUGUGGUUUAAUUCGACGCAACGCGCAGAACCUUACCAGCCCUUGACAUGUCCGGGACCGGUCGCAGAGACGUGACCUUCUCUUCGGAGCCCGGAACACAGGUGCUGCAUGGCUGUCGUCAGCUCGUGUCGUGAGAUGUUGGGUUAAGUCCCGCAACGAGCGCAACCCCCGUCCUUAGUUGCUACCAUUCAGUUGAGCACUCUAAGGAGACUGCCGGUGAUAAGCCGCGAGGAAGGUGGGGAUGACGUCAAGUCCUCAUGGCCCUUACGGGCUGGGCUACACACGUGCUACAAUGGCGGUGACAAUGGGAUGCUAAGGGGCGACCCUUCGCAAAUCUCAAAAAGCCGUCUCAGUUCGGAUUGGGCUCUGCAACUCGAGCCCAUGAAGUUGGAAUCGCUAGUAAUCGUGGAUCAGCACGCCACGGUGAAUACGUUCCCGGGCCUUGUACACACCGCCCGUCACACCAUGGGAGUUGGUUUUACCUGAAGACGGUGCGCUAACCGCAAGGAGGCAGCCGGCCACGGUAGGGUCAGCGACUGGGGUGAAGUCGUAACAAGGUAGCCGUAGGGGAACCUGCGGCUGGAUCACCUCC